AGAAAAGUCAUAUCAUUUUCAUUAAGGGUGGGCAAAAUAUUCGACCCGAUAAAAAAAAAUCGGGUUCGGAUCAAAUCGAAUUAAAGGCUAUAUCUGAUCGGAUGCAAUAUUGCCAACCCGAUCAGAUUGUGAUCGGAUCAGGUUUCAUCCGAUCCAAUCUGAAAACUCGAUCGGAUUGGCUAAAAAAAAAAAGUGAAACACACACACACAUAAAUCACAAUUCAAAUAGACACACCCUACAUCAUCCACACAUGUACACUAUACAGCACAUACCACACCACCCACACAACAGUUGCAGCCUUCCUCACUGGCUCACCUUCAACCUUAAGUCAACACUCAACACUUAACAGCAGAGCUAAACACACACACACUAACACGGCCGACAGUACCCAACGACAGCUACGACCUCCUCCAUCAACUUAUCAUGUCACUUUCAAGAAGACAAGAAAGAAAAAAUAGUGACACACAAAUCACAAUUCACACAAACACACACCACAUCGUCCACACAUGUGUACACUAUACAGCACACGCCACACCACCUAAACAGCAGCUGCAACCUCCUUCACUGGCUCACCCUCAACUUCAAGUCAGCACUCAACACUUAACAGCAGAGCAAAACACACACAUUCACACAUCCGACAGUACCCAACCACAGCCACGACCUCCUCCCUUAACUUUUCAUCUCACUCCCAAGAAGACAAGAAAGAAGAAACAGUGACACACACAGACACAGCAAGAAAGCGGUAGCCAACCACCAAACGCAACAACCCAACCAGAUCUACUACCACCACCUACCGAAUCUGCUGAUCCAUGCCUCCACCAUCACCAAGCUCCUCCUUCAAGCUCCAUCUGAACCCUGCAAACGGCAACCCGAAUUUCUGUUUUGAAGCUUUGAGUUCGAGCCUUCGAUUAUGGUGUUAACAUAAAUAUGUUAAUAAUAUUGAUUUUGAUGAUAACAAAUUUUAAAUGAUUUUUGAUAAAAGUAUUGGAGCUAUUUCUUAAUAAACGAGAGCCUUAGUAAUCAUUCCAUUCAUGCUUCAUAAAAGAUGGACUUUAAAAUUAGAAAAAGAUUCUCUGCAAAAACUGGUUUAAAAUGCAAUUCUGGUUAUAAACGGUUCACCGUUUAUUUAAACGGUUAACCGAUAACAGCCAGAGAGCAACGUAUUUCUUAAACCUCUAACCGUUUAUGAAAAACGGAAAACACAAAAGAUGGGAAGGUUACUGGAACUUAACGGUGAACCGUUUAUUUUAAACGGUUAACCGAUUAGAACCAGAGAGCAACAUAUUACCUAAGCUCUAACCGUUUAUGCUUAACGGAAAACACCCAAGAUGGGAAGGCUACUGGAACCUAACGGUGAACCGUUUAUUUUAAACGGUUAACCGAUAACGUCCAGAAUUGAAGGUUGUCCUCCUCUGGCACUGAUUAACGAAAACUGAUAAGGCUAAAUUGUUUUGCAGGUUACUGGAGACAAACGGCGAACCGUUUAUAUCAAACGGUUAACCGAUAAUUUCCAGAGAAGCCACUUCACGCAAGUCCUUAACCGUUUAGCGUAAACGGAUAACAAAUACUCAUUUUGCAAGUCUCUGGAAGUUAACGGCGAAAGGGCAACCCUAAACGGAAAACCGUUUAUUUGAAAUCUGGCCCAACGGUAACUUUGACCAGCCUAAACGGUUAACCGUUUAUGGUUAACGGCGAACCGUUUUCUGUCCGACAGUUUGUAACGGCUAGAUUUUCGGCUCCAAAUAUAAAUAAGCUCAUUCAAAUUCAAAGAAGAUUGAUCACAACACGACCAUUUGAGCUAAUAUUCGAGAAUACAAUCUUCAUAGAGCUUAGAACAUAUUCUUGCUUCAUCUAUUCACAUAUUAAGCAUCAUUGCGUAAUCUUAUAUAUUGUGAGAGGCAAAACAAUUUAUAAUCUUUGAUUUUGAGUGAUUGUAAGUGUUGGGAUACACUUGGGUUAAGAGAUUGGGGAUAAUCUCUUGUUGUAAAGGUUCAUUGACACCUUGGAAGUCAAGUGUAAGCAUUUGAAGCCUUGGAGGCUUGCUUAGUGGAAUCCUCAAGCCCGGAAAGCUUGGAGGCGUGGACGUAGGCGAGGUUGGCCGAACCACGUAAAAAUCUCGGUGUUUGAAUCCCUCUUCCCUUAUCUUUUUAUAUUGUGAUUCUCUUAAUUGUUAUUGCUUUGAAUUUGAUUUAUAAUUGCAUUAAGAUUUUCUUUAAUAAAUUGAAUAAUUUUUUAGAAUCCCAAUUCACCCCCCCUCUUGGGUUGCAUUCUUGUAUUUCAUAUGGUAUAUACCACCGCCAUUUGAUAAUUAUAUUGUGUAUUGUGUAAUAUAUAUUAUAUGUUAUUAUAUUAAAUUGUUAAUUAGUAAUUAUUAUAUUUCACCCAACCUGAAUUGACCUGAACUAAAUUCGAACCUAUCUAAUCUGAAUUUGAUUCGAACCGAACUCAACCCAAUUUCUUGGUCUGACUGGAUCGAGUUAAUUAGUAAUUAAUUCAAAUUGGAUUAGAUUGAAAUACUAACUAGGCAACCCAAGAGGGGAGGUGAAUUGAGAUUUUAAAAUUUAAGCUAAGCAAACCACACAACAAUUUAAUCUAUUGCCUUAAUCAAAUUGAAAACAAUAAAUUCAAUCAUGCACAAUAUUAAAAGAGUAAGGGAAGAGAAAACGAACACAAUGAUUUUUACGUGGUUCGGCAAUCCCCGCCUACGUCCACGCCUCCAAGCUCACCGGGCUUGAGGAUUUCACUAAGUUAGCCUCCCAAGGCUUCAAACGCUUACAAUUGACUUCCAAGGUGUCAAUGGACCUUUACAACAAGAGAUUAUCCCCAAUCUCUUAACCCAAGUGUAUCCCAACACUUACAAUCUUUUAACUUGAUUUUACAAAAAAGAUUACAAAUGAAUCUCUCUCACACAAUGUGUUUGAUCACAAGUGAAAGCUCAAUGUGUGAAUGAAUGAGAUGAAUACAAAGAUUUAAAGCUCAAUGAAAGUUGUAUUCUCAAUAUUUUGCUCAAUGAUGAUCGUUGGAAUUCAUUCUUGUUUGAAUUAGAUUGAGCUUAUUUAUAGUUGGAGCUGAAAAACUAGCCGUUAUAGACUGUCUGCUCGAAAACGGUUCGCCGUUAACCAUUAACGGUUAACCGUUUAGGCCGGUCAAAGUUACUGUUGGGCCAAUUUUCAAAUAAACGGUUAGCCGUUUAGGCUUACCCUUUCGCCGUUAAUUUCCAGAGACCUGUAAAACAAAUUUGGUUUAACCGUUCUUACUAAACGGUUCAAGGUUAGCAAUCUGGAAAUAAUCGGUUAACCGUUUUCAGUAAACGGUUCACCGUUAGUUUCCAGAAUCAUCAUUUUAACAAUACUUUGCAGAACAUGCUUUCUGGAAAUUAUCGGUUAGCCGUUUUAAAUAAACGGUUAGCUGUUUUAAAUAAACGGUUAGCCGUUUGCUACAGUGAAAAUAUUUUCUAAAUUUACAGUUUGACCCUAAAACUUUAUAAAACUGUAUUACGGCCCAAAACGUUAUGAAACUUUGCACAUAAGUCCAAUUUCAGAAUUUCUAAGUAAUGUUUUGUUAAUCCCAAAACUUUCUGAAAUUAUGGUAUAGCCCAAAAUACUAUGACACUUUUCAAAUAAGUCAUUUACCAAGAUUUCAAGCAAUACAUGUUUAUUUCAAAGUUUUCAAAAUUCUUUCAAUUAAACCAUAAACUUUGAAAAGCAACCAAUUUCAUAAAAUCAUUUUUCCAUUAAAUAUGAAACAUUUAUAAUGUGAAAAUAAUGAUUUAUUUAAAAAGAAUAAAAACAAUCAAUUUCAUAAAAUCAUUUUUCCAUUAAAUAUAAAACAUUUAUAAUGUGAAAAUAAUGAUUUAUUUAAAAAGAAUAUUAAAUAAUUUGAGCUUAAAAGAUUAAUCAUUCUUAAUCUUGUUUGUUAUCAUCAAAAUCAAUAUUAUGGAAACAUAUAUGUUAACAUAGAUUGUGUUAUAUGUUCAGAUUGAGUUCAAAUGAAUUUUAAUCCAACUCGACCAACCCAAAACUUGAUCCAGUUGAUCCGAUCUCAAUUUAGCCCAGUUCUACUUCUCAUGGAGAACAUUUUUAUUAAUAAUAAUUAAAGAAUGAUACAAGUAUAGUUUAAAUGCACUUUUAUACUUAAAUCCAAAAUAAUGCAAAUUUAUUAAAAUAAGUUAACUUAAGUGAUUUUACAUAAUACAAUUUUCUUACUUCAAGAAAUUUAAAAACAACUUCCCAAGAGAAUAGAGAAAUCCAUCAAAUUUUUUGAAUAUUAUAAAUGAAUUCAAGCACUAAAUAACAGAAUUUACCAACAAGUCUAUUAAGAUUUCUGUUUCUCUUAACGAGAGCUUUGGAACGACAUACUAUAUGUCUAAAUAUGAUAUUAUUUGUCUCAUCUAAACUCGUCAAAAGAUAUCUUGUUUACUUAAUUACACUUUGAAGGUAAAAUGGUCAUUUUAUAUUAAUUCCCUUAAAGAUUAUAAUAUUUCUAAUAGUAAAAUAAAUGAGCUAUACACUUUGUAAAUUUUGUUGGGCAGCUAAAUAGAUUAAAAGUUUUUGUCUGAGGGCACAGAUGAGUCCCAACCCUUAUGUUGGGACUUUAAUUUAUCUUCUCAAUUACAUAACUAAUAGAAAUAGACAUCUCCAUAUAAGUUUAUUGGAAUUUUCUAAAUCAAGUAUAUUAUAAUACAAUUCAGAUUUUUAUCCUCAAUAAUAUUUGAGGGAUAUAAGUGUUAAAAAAAACUUAUAUUUUAACUGUGAUUAAAAAAAUAAAAAAAGACAUGGCUAGAGAGAGAUCUAGUAAAUGUAAACAGGUUCUAUUUGGUAUUUAACUAAUUUAUUUUUUAAGUUACAAUAGAUGUAAAAAAAAAGGUUAUACCUAUAAAAUAAAAGUUAAUAAUGUAAAAUAAAUAUAAAUUUUAAAAAAAUAAUUUUGACAAAAAUAACGGUUAACUUUGGAAUGCCUCUUAUUUUUGUUAAGAAAACAAAAGAAAUUUCAUUAACCUACCCCAUUUUUUUCCUUAUCUUUUGAACAAAAAUAAGAGUAACUGGAGAUUUUCAAAAGUGAAGAGAGUUGCUUGAAAAUUGUUAAUUUAUAACUGGAGUAAUCUAAAAUUUAGCCUAAAAAUAAUAAAUAUAUUAUAAUUUUUUAAAUCACCUUAACCUCUUAGGUAUAAUACUAAUAGAAAGUGCUUAUUGAAUACUUUAAUAUUGUAAAAUAAAAAUUAAAUCUAUUUAACCUCAAUACAAAAUAGGAUCUAAAAAUUUUGUCUUUCAUUUUAGAGCAACUUUUAUUUUCUCUCUCUACGUUUAAUGUCCACUUAUCUUCAAAAUUAUCAUUUCAUUAUGCUUUUACAGUUCUUUCUUUUGAUUUACUUUUUUUUUUUUUCGAAAAGACAUCAUAAGAUACUAAGAUGAGGCAAAUUUGGCAUAUUUUGUAAUAUCUACGGGAAAAAAAGGCAUAUUCUGUGCCAAAUAUAGAAGAAAUACCAUUGCAGCACGGCCAGGUUGGUUGGUAGGUGAUUAUCGAGUCUGAGACGUCCACUGCUAGUGCCGGUGCUAGUUAAAUCCCUAAAAUACCCUUGCAGCAGCUACUCACGUUUGCGUCUAUCCCCAUGUACGGAUUAACCCAGCGGCAAGCAUCUGCCGCCUAAGGACUCUGCCCAUGCUCUACUAAAUGACAAAAAAAGGGUAGAAAACCGAAAAAUCGGAAAUAAAAAAUAAAAGAACAUGGCACACCCCCAUGUCAAAUGCGCAGUCCCA
rnacentral:lncRNA from 1 species